UGGGGAAUAUUGCACAAUGGGCGCAAGCCUGAUGCAGCCAUGCCGCGUGUGUGAAGAAGGCCUUCGGGUUGUAAAGCACUUUCAGCGGGGCGGAAGGCGUUAAGGUUAAUAACCUUGGCGAUUGACGUUACCCGCAGAAGAAGCACCGGCUAACUCCGUGCCAGCAGCCGCGGUAAUACGGAGGGUGCAAGCGUUAAUCGGAAUUACUGGGCGUAAAGCGCACGCAUGCGGUCUGUCAAGUCGGAUGUGAAAUCCCCGGGCUCAACCUGGGAACUGCAUUCGAAACUGGCAGGCUAGAGUCUUGUAGAGGGGGGUAGAAUUCCAGGUAUAGCGGUGAAAUGCGUAGAGAUCUGGAGGAAUACCGGUGGCGAAGGCGGCCCCCUGGACAAAGACUGACGCUCAGGUGCGAAAGCGUGGGGAGCAAACAGG
rnacentral:rRNA from 1 species